rnacentral:rRNA from 1 species
CACGUAGGGCGCAAGCGUUGUCCGGAAUUAUUGGGCGUAAAGAGCUCGUAGGCGGUCUGUUGCGUCCGCUGUGAAAACUCGAGGCUCAACCUCGAGACGUCGGUUGAAACCACCUGGCUAGAGUCCGGAAGAGGAGAGUGGAAUUCCCGGUGUAGCGGUGAAAUGCGCAGAUAUCGGGAAGAACACCCGUGGCGAAGGCGGCUCUCUGGGACGGUACUGACGCUGAGACGCGAAAGCGUGGGGAGCGAACAGG